rnacentral:snRNA from 1 species
AACUUUGCGCAGUGGCAGUAUCAUAACCAAUGAAGUUAAUCUGAGGUGUGAUUAUUGCUAGUUGAAAACUUUUCCCAAUAUCCUAACAAUAAGAAGGUCCUUCUUCUUGCACGGGAGGA